rnacentral:rRNA from 1 species
AUUGAACGCUGGCGGCGUGCUUAACACAUGCAAGUCGAUCGGUAACGCGGGGGCCACCCUGGCGACGAGAGGCGGACGGGUGAGGAACGCGUGGGAAUCUGCCUAUCAGCGGGGGACAACCCGGGGACACUCGGGCUAAUACCGCAUACCCCCUCCGGAGGAAAGCCGGGGACCGCAAGGCCUGGCACCGAGAGAGUAGCCCAAGUCGGAUUAGCCAAUUGGCGGGGUAACGGCACACCAAGGCGACGAUCCGUAGCUGGUCUGAGAGGACGAUCAGCCACACUGGGACUGAGACACGGCCCAGACUCCUACGGGAGGCAGCAGUGGGGAAUAUUGGACAAUGGGGGAAACCCUGAUCCAGUGACGCCGCGUGGGUGAAGAAGGCCUGCGGGUUGUAAAGCCCUUUCGGUAGGGACGAAAGCUCUCGACCUAACACGUCGGGAGGUUGACUUAACCUACAAAAGAAGCACCGGCUAACUCUGUGCCAGCCGCCGCCGUAACAC